ensembl:lncRNA
UCCGGCUACUUUAUGAAGCCAUUUUCUUAGUGCUUUUGAACUAACACAAAGCAGACCAUGAAUCGAGAACUCAGCAUAAACACAGCUGGUGUUUGACACAGCUGCUCUAACAUCAAGGAGUCAAGUUAAAAGAAUUGAAAAGUCUGAGAAGAGCUAUAACAAUAAUAAUAUUUCUGUUUUUGUGAAUGAUGUUUUGAUCUAAAAAAACAAAACAAAACAAAUCUACAAGACUGUACCUUGAGUUCCACAAUCUGCUGCUUGACGGUUUCCAGAUCCGUGCCCACAGGUGACAUUGAAUCCAGCUUGCUCUCCAGAAUAUCCACCCAGUCAAACAUACCCUGCAUACAGCGUUGGAAACCAUUGUUAGUGAGAGAACAAAGCUGGGUGCACAGGGUGUCAAGUUUCAAACUGAGUUUAAAGUUAUGCCCUGAAUCUUACAGUUGGUCUGUUUGGCUGAUAAAUUAGAAAAUUAUACACAAAGAAAAUGAAAAAAAAAACCCAAACAAGCCCUGAGGUUACAUGCCAAUGUGCUGAAGAAGUGCAAAGAGGAGAUUUAAACUUGUGUAAAAGAAUCCUUCCUCACCGUGAAACUUUCUUACACACUAGUUAAUGUUUGAGCCAAAUAUAUCACGACCACGCUCUGGCUGGUGUUUCAAAAUCAGUAGAGCUCUCAUGAGAUGUUAUAUCAACUGUUAGAUCAACUGCAUGGUAAUAUGUGGUUUCAUCAAAAGGCCUCGGAAACUCCCUGGCUCACUGUAUCUGUUAAAUAUCAAACAUCUUGUGAUGAACAAGUGCUUGUAUAUUGUGUAGCUUGAUAUUAAGUAUUUAGCCCUUAAAGAUGACAUUCCCUCUUAAUCUGACACCUCUAUAUAUAUAUAUUAAUAAAGAUGUGGUUUGAUGACCCUUAGAACAGUUUCCAGGUUUUUCCAAGGAUAGCUACACAGGCAGAGACAACCCUUAUUAACUUGCAUGCUCAGUGUUUUGUUCUAUAAGCAGGCCUGAUAUAUGAGAGAAACCCCACGUCAAUAAAAUAGCUUCAAGGGUUACUCCUAGGCUUCCAAAAGAUCACAUCAAAUAAAGUUAAAAACCACGAGAACCGUGACUGGGAAGUUUUGGAAAAGGUCUGCUGUUUCAAAACUUUUUAAAUAUUC